GGAGAGUGAAAUGCAUUGUUCACUCUGUCACCAAGGAGAGAGUGAAAUGUGCUUUUCACUCUCCCCUUCAGAGAGAGAGAGUGAAAAGACUCUUGCGACAAUAGAAAAGAGAGACUCUUGCGGCAAUAGAAAACAAAACGUAGCGUAAUCUUCUGCUUCAACUGUAGGUGGCUGGCCCCUAACAUGGCAAUGUAUCAUUCAUGCACGCUGAGCAAAGAACACAUCGUUUUGCUUCUAAGAGAACAGGCCGCCGCAGUUCAAAGGAACGCGUAGCGAGCGCUCUACUUUUUCACUCGGAGUUGCUCCACCGCGCGCGCGCGCGCUCAAGAUCGCGGAACAACACAGCACCGAAAGGUGAUCCCUCCGCCGAGCAGCACAGCAGCAGCAAAGGCCAGCCAAGGGAGAUCGUAUGUCAGCCAUCUCGCGUCGCCACGAAAACACGACAGUCAUUCGUCAUGCCUUGGAUAUAACAGCAAAUCCUCCACGGCACCCGCUUUAUAUAACGCAAGAAGGCAGCUGCAAGGACACGAGGAUGUGAAAGAGCCAGUGCAGCGCGACUUCACGUAGUGCAGAGGAGCCAAUGCCAAAAAAUCAAAAUACAUUGGCAUGUUAUUUGGACAAGAAAACUAGUAUGGACAACCCAGGACGUGCAUUUCUCAGCACCCAGUCAACUGCUAAAAGUGACUCAAACACAGGCCACCAGUGGAACUCGGCUGUACCACUGCAGUGCUGCGGAAAUUGCCUUCACCAGCGGCUUUGCAACAGCUGUUUCGCAGCAUGUCGGAGACAAUGCCUACGAAAUUAUUGGCCCUGAUCAUGAGAGCCCUCAAGGGGCAAACAUCUCUGUUGCAGAAGUGAGCCCGAUACCACUUGGAAGUUACCAUGACAGAUGACACGGCAGCAAUAGAUACAGAGACUGCCAUGUCUACUGCAGCUGCAACAGUGUACGAGGCAAGCAGCAGUGCGUCAGCAUCAGCAGCAGUGUCAGAAGGAACCACACCAGGCCUGGUAGAGCAACAUGUGUGCUAUCACUGACUUUUUUUUGUAGUGGAUACAACUCAUUUGCUCAACGUACAAAAGCUUUUCACCACGACUGUGAGCCAGUGUUAUUGUGCAGCAAGUGCAAGACUAAGUUAGGUGUUAUAACACAGUACAAGCAUCACUUUAAUAUAUGCAAAUGCAAACAUAUUACAGUUGUUGCCUCCCCAGCCAGCCCACAUAGUGACAACAAUGUGGAACACAUGGUGGGACACACCUCUCCCCCAUUACAAUAUAGUAGAGACUGUCAGUGUUGUUGCUAGAUUGACUGGUCUUUGUAGGCAACUAGAAGGACAACACAGGUGUCAUAAGAUUGUUGUUGAUGUUGUUGAAGAGGUAAAAAAGAAGUUUGAUGCAGCUGAAGUGCCAACUGAUAUUGAGCAAAUCAAAAGCAACCACCUGAGAAAGCAACACUAUCGAAAUUUGGGUAUCUAUGUGCCGCCAACUCUGGUAAGAAUGGCAUAGGACAGAAGUGUGAUGAAAAUCACACAGACACUGCUGUUGCAUCACUGGCCACAGUGAGCAGCGACUUGUAGGGCAAGAGAGUCAACUGAAACUAACAUUAUGAUAUCAUGCUCCCAUGUGACC